CACGUAGGGGGCGAGCGUUGUCCGGAUUUAUUGGGCGUAAAGAGCUCGUAGGCGGUUCGGCAAGUCGGGUGUGAAAUUUCGAGGCUCAACCUCGAAACGCCACUCGAUACUGCUGUGACUGGAGUCCGGUAGAGGAGUGCGGAAUUCCUGGUGUAGCGGUGAAAUGCGCAGAUAUCAGGAGGAACACCAGCGGCGAAGGCAGCACUCUGGGCCGGUACUGACGCUGAGGAGCGAAAGCGUGGGGAGCAAACAGG
rnacentral:rRNA from 1 species